rnacentral:tRNA from 1 species
GAGCCGUUAGCUCAGGCCGGUAGAGCAUCUGACUUUUAAUCAGAGGGUCGCGGGUUCGAGUCCCGCACGGCUCACCA